rnacentral:piRNA from 1 species
GGGGACCACCAAGAAUGAAUACUUUUCCAA